CGCGGAGUGGAGCAGUUGGUAGCUCGUCGGGCUCAUAACCCGAAGGUCGUUGGUUCGAGUCCAGCCUCCGCAACCA
rnacentral:tRNA from 1 species